CGCACCCUGCAUCUAGCCAUGCCGCGUGAGUGAUGAAGGCCUUAGGGUCGUAAAGCUCUUUCGCCUGUGAUGAUAAUGACAGUAGCAGGUAAAGAAACCCCGGCUAACUCCGUGCCAGCAGCCGCGGUAAUACGGAGGGGGUUAGCGUUGUUCGGAAUUACUGGGCGUAAAGCGCGCGUAGGCGGAUUAGAAAGUUGGGGGUGAAAUCCCGGGGCUCAACCUCGGAACUGCCUCCAAAACUGCUAGUCUAGAGUUCGAGAGAGGUGAGUGGAAUUCCGAGUGUAGAGGUGAAAUUCGUAGAUAUUCGGAGGAACACCAGUGGCGAAGGCGGCUCACUGGCUCGAUACUGACGCUGAGGUGCGAAAGUGUGGGGAGCAAACAGGAUUAGAUACCCUGGUAGUCCACACCGUAAACGAUGAAUGCCAGUCGUCGGGUAGUAUACUAUUCGGUGACACACCUAACGGAUUAAGCAUUCCGCCUGGGGAGUACGGUCGCAAGAUUAAAACUCAAAGGAAUUGACGGAUCCU
rnacentral:rRNA from 1 species